AGACCAAUCAGAGUCCUGAACAGAGCCAGAGACACCGUGCCCAGCUGAGGGGGAGAGGGUUCUAUAAAGACUGAAAUAACAGUGUAGAGAAGUGUGUGUGUGUGUGUUGUGUGUGUGUGUUACCUGGAAGGGUGUGUUGACUCGGCUAACCAGCGUGUCCAGGAUGUGCACGCUGUCGUGUGUGUGCAGCAGGAUGAAGGACAGGAAGCUCUGCAGGAGGGCGGGCUCGGAGACGGAGCGCAGGAACAGGUCCAGGUAACGUGUGUGUGUUCUACCUUGUGCAGAGCAGGAGCCAGAACAGGAACCAGGAAGCCGUUGUAGAUAUAACCCAACAGCUGAGAGCGGAUCGAUGGGGCAGAAGUAUGUGUUCUGGGCGAUGUGUCGGGCGACUCGAGGGUCGGCGGCGGACAGAGACAUGAUGAGCAGCAGAGCGUCCCGGGCCUGCUGACCCACUGAGCCCUGUCUGAGAGGAGAUACAGACAUGGUAUGAGAAGGGAGAAGAGCAGGAAGUUGGCGGCCCCCUGGUCCUCACUGGUGUGGAAGAAUAGCUCCAGCACUGAGGGGUCUUUCACCAGAGAAACACACAGCUGGUGCAGCAGGAGGACAAGCUCCGCCUCCACCACACCGCCGCCGUCUGGGGGGGUGUUCAUACCAGGUAACUGUUUAAACAUCUGAGCUUAAUUAACCCCCGUUAACCAAUUACACGUCGUUAAUUCAGAGGUCUUCAGUGUGAGAGUGGGGCUAGCUGUUCCCCGUCAGUUUUAAAGCUAGGUUAAGCUAACACAUAGAGCACUGAGGUGGUGUCAAUAUGCAGGGAUUGUUCCUCUCACCGGUGGCUGCGCCGGCGCAGGAGGCCAGCAGCAUCAUCAGAGGCCGGAGGAUGGGCUUGUGGUGCAGCAGCGGCUGCCGGGCCUGGGACAGCAGCAUCUGGUAGAUGCACAGCUGCUCCAGCUUCAUGUCCUCUGUAA